rnacentral:lncRNA from 1 species
UUGAGUAUUGGAUAAAAUGGAUUAUGGUAAAAAAAUGGAUAUGAAAUUGGAUAAUGAUUAAAUUGGAAUAAAAGUGGUUUUGAGGGAUAUGGAAUUUGGAUAGCCGUAAAAAAAUGGUUAAAUGGAUUUGAAAAAAAGAAUUAAAUGGUCACAUGGAUUGUUUUAGAAAUUAGGAAUUAGUAAAAUGAAAUAUUGAUUUGGAAAGAGGAUUUGGA